GACGAACGCUGGCGGCGUGCUUAACACAUGCAAGUCGAGCGGAGCGGCGAACGGGUGAGUAACGCGUGAGUAACUGCCCCCCUCUCCGGGAUAACAGUUGGAAACGGCUGCUAAUAACGGAUAGUGGGGGAUGAUUCGGGUCCUAUCAGCUUGUUGGUGGGGUAGUGGCCUACCAAGGCGACGACGGGUAGCCGGCCUGAGAGGGCGACCGGCCACAGUGGGCAGGGAUGCGGGCCGAAGUCCUACGGGGGGCAGCGGGGGGGAAUAUUGCACGAUAGGGGAAACCCGGAUGCAGCAACGCGCGUGCGGGAUGACGGCCUUCGGGUUGUAAACCGCUUUCAGCCAUGACGCGGUAGUGGCAGAAGAAGCACCGGCUAACUACGUGCCAGCAGCCGCGGUAAUAC
rnacentral:rRNA from 1 species